rnacentral:lncRNA from 1 species
CAGUAAGGAUAUUUUAAGUGAACAUUUAUAAUUUGAGUCAAUAAUUAAACCUACCUCUUCAACAUUUUUAUGAGAUGGAUAUUAAUUUCCUGGCCCCAUCAGAUCUUUCAUGUUUCCGAUGAAGCACCAACCAUCUGUCCCAAACUCAUCACCUAGCAACAAUAAUGACAAACUGACCUCAUAGUUGAAUAUAAGUAGCAUAGCACGACCCUAAUAAAUGUUCCACAGCUUAUUCCAUGGUAACUUUAUCAUUCGCUGUAAUGGUGUCACCUUCACCAUAGCUUGGCAAGGAAGGAGAUGAAGUACUGUAAUGGGGACAGAAAAUAAAAUCAAGAUGGCUCGUGGGAAAAGAUCUCUUCUUCAGGAAGCUAAAAAUAGGAAUUACCAAAGCAAGCAACUUUUUGGCAUGGCACAGACCACUGGUGGAGUUUGGAAAGAAUAUGAAUUUGGAAUCUGUAUCCAUUGAGGCUUAGAUCUCUUUCCUUACUUGUAUCUUUCAAAUGACUUUCAAAAUAAAAUCUUAUUUUGGGCAAAAAAAAAAAAAUGAGAAACUAGAGUCAUUUAUAGCUAAACGGAUGCACAUGGAGGCCAUACUCUUAAGUGAAAUAAACGGGACGCACAUGUGUAAAU